UUCGCAAUGCCCGAAAGGGUGACGAAGCGACGCCGCGUGUGGGAAGAAGGCCUUCGGGUUGUAAACCACUGUCGGGAGUUAAGAAAUGCAAGGAUAUGGAUAGUAUCUUUGCUUGACUAAGGCUCCGGAGGAAGCCACGGCUAACUCUGUGCCAGCAGCCGCGGUAAUACAGAGGCGGCAAGCGUUGUUCGGAAUUAUUGGGCGUAAAGAGCACGUAGGCGGCUAUGUAAGUCGGUUGUGAAAGCCUUCCGCUCAACGGGAGAACAGCAUCCGAUACUGCAUGGCUUGAGUGCGGGAGGGGAGAGUGGAACUUCUGGUGGAGCGGUGAAAUGCGUAGAUAUCAGAAGGAACGCCGGCGGCGAAAGCGGCUCUCUGGCCCAUAACUGACGCUGAGUGUGCGAAAGCUAGGGGAGCAAACGGGAUUAGAUACCCCGGUAGUCCUAGCCGUAAACGAUGGGCACUAAGUAGAGGGGUUUU
rnacentral:rRNA from 1 species